rnacentral:rRNA from 1 species
AUAGUAAUGUGAAUUGCAGAAUUCAGUGAAUCAUCGAAUCUUUGAACGCACCUUGCGCCCUUUGGUAUUCCGAAGGGCACACCUGUUUGAGUGUCGUGA